rnacentral:rRNA from 1 species
UAGGGAAUAUUGGGCAAUGGGCGAAAGCCUGACCCAGCAACGCCGCGUGAAGGAAGAAGGUCUUCGGAUUGUAAACUUCUGUUGUAAGGGAAAAAUAAAGUGAUGGUACCUUAUGAGGAAGCUACGGCCAACUAUGUGCCAGCAGCCGCGGUAAUACAUAGGUAGCGAGCGUUAUCCGGAAUAACUGGGCGUAAAGGGAGUGUAGGUGGCCAAAUAAGUUAGAUGUGAAAGACCGUAGCUUAACUACGGAAAUGCAUUUAAUACUGUAUGGCUAGAGUGCAAGAGAGGUAAACGGAAUUUCUAGUGUAGCGGUAGAAUGCGUAGAGAUUAGGAAGAACACCAGAGGCGAAAGCGGUUUACUAGAUUGUAACUGACACUGAGGCUCGAAAGCGUGGGGAGCAAACAGG